CAUUAAGAAGCUAUAAAGCGUUAACCUUUUAAGUUAAAUAUUGGGAGUUCUAGCCUCCCCUUAAUGA
rnacentral:tRNA from 1 species